rnacentral:lncRNA from 1 species
GGGAGUCUGAGGAGGCGGCUCUUCCACGCAUUAUAAUAUCCAUAAAGUAAAUGCAAAUUAACCAAAAGCACCUUCUGAAUAAGCAGCUUUUAUUGAGGGAGCUGCUCUAAUCCCUAAAUGGCUUUAUUGACCGAGAGGAGCUUCCUAGCGGGGGAGGGGGUGGGAAAUGUGCACGCACUGUCAGGAAUGGCUCCGCAGCGCCCUUGUCCCAGUGCUUUUAGAUUCCAGACAUGCUUCUUGUGGCUAAUGGAACUUGCAGAUCUCUAACCUCGGCUUCUACAUUCCGCUCCCCUCCCCCACCGGAGUCUGGGGAGCCUGGCUUCUGCGUCUGCAGGAGGCUGAGGCUGCUCGAUGCCGCAUCGCUGGUCCGGAUGAUGAGGGAAUUGGGGACGCCCUCUCUGGUUUCAGAAAACCUCAAGAGCUUCCCACCAAGUUACCAAGGCAACCGCAGCCCCGCAGGAUUCACAGUGACAGUGGAGAGAAAGCAGAGACUGACAACAGCCCCACAUCUCAAGGGGAGCAGGGAGACAGAGGCUCACCAGAGCAAACAUCCCCUGCAUCCCUGCUCAAGGAACUGUUUUCCUGCAAUUUGUGAGCUGACACAGCCCAGUCCCAGCAGCAGCAGGCUGGGGAGCUGGCGGCCCAGACCACAACAGGAGCAGCUUGUGGUGUUCUGUUCCAGCAGAUUGGAGAGAGUUUCCCAUGGCUCAGACCCGAGGCUGAGGAGCCAGGAUGGGAAAAGCAAGAAAGAGGAGGCCCCCAAGCUCUUGGCCAGCCAGCCAGCUUAUUGGUAGCCUGGAAUACAGAUGCCUGUAUGAGCUCUCCCUGCCUGGAAGGAGUAAAGUCAGCAUUAUCCAGACUUGUGAUACUGAUGGCUCUUAGGGAAUCACUCAGUGCUGGUGUUCUCGUUAGAGGUGUUCAACCUGUCUUAGCCCCUGAAAUUCCAAGAAAUGAGGAGAAGGUGAGCCUGAACCAGUCGCUGGCACUUGUUGGCUCCCUUCAUGCCUUUUUUUUUUUUUAAAGAUUUUAUUUAU